CGGCCAAAGCAAGAACAAAGGAAGAAAAAGAAGAACAAAACCCUAGGUGGAAAAAUUCAAGGAAAAAGUGUGAAAAUUCAAGGAAACAAGUGAAAAAAAGGUAAGAUUUUUCAAUUAAGCUUGAGAUCUCUCUUUCUUAAGCAUUUUUCUUAUUUUUCAUGGUUUAAUCACAUGAAAUCAUGAUGGGUCUCUUGCUGGCCGAACACUUAGAGAGAGAUUUUGAUGGUUGAUUUAGUUAGAUUUCAAUGUAUUUUAGUGUUUUUAGUUAGUUAGUGAUGUGUAGUAUGAAAAGCCAACAAGAAAAAUUCACUUCCUCCCAUUGAAAAGCCAACAAGAAAAAUUCACUUCCUCCCAUCACUCAUCAUUGGCCGAAUUCUCCAUGUAGAAUAUUGAUGAUGAUUUUGAUUUUAUUUCAAGUGAUUUGGUUCAGAAUUAGUGAUUUAUGGUGUGAGAAUCAAGCUUGAAAAAUUAUAGUGUUGAUGCACCCACCAUGGCCGAAUUUUCUAAGAGAAAAUGUGAGGAUGAUUUUGCCAUAUUUCAAGUUAUUUAAUUUAUGUUUGAUGAUUUGGAGUAUUGGGAGAGAAAUGGAAUUAUUUGGAGUUGAAUUGGACGUAUUGGCCAAUUAAUCGGGUGAUAGAUCGAAUUAGGCCAAUACCAUUUUAUUUAGGUACAUAAUUAAAUUUAUAUUGAACACCAUAUUUAGAUAGUUACCCGAGUAUUUCACAUCCUAUUUCAUGCAUUAGUAUAGAGCCUAAAUUGGUUUUAUAACAAUUUAGCACAAAUGUAGUAAAUGGCUUAUUGGCAUUAUGUUUAAGUGGUGAAUCCUCCAAAAAAGGGCAAAGAAAUUGCACCCGAGGAUCAAUAGUCAGAGUACUCCGAAAUUCAAACUCCUAAUACAGUGAGUAACCUUAUUAUCGUCUUAAUUAUCUAAAGUAGUUUUAUUCGUUUUUGUGAUUUGAUAGAAAAAUGAGUUUAAAUGGUAAAUCUUUAUGUUUUAUAAGCAAAUGUGAUUAAAUGAAAUGAUUUUAUAAAAUUGUCUUGAGAUUGAAAGAUGGUUUUGAAAAUGGAGUAAUUGGAGACUAAUUGCUGUGUUAUAAAUCAUGGUUUGAAUUGAAUGGCUUAUGAUAAUAUUGGCAUGAAUGGUUGGAUUUGGUAAAUGUGCUGAAAAAGUAUGAACUAUUGAUUUGCCGUUAGAGGCUGUAAAAUGAAAUAAUUGCCAUGUCAUGCUGUUGAAUUUUAUUGAAUUGGUGGGUUAUAAUUGGUCGCUGCAGUGGACGGGUUUCGUGGAUCAGCCUAUUAGAAGGGCACAGUAACCCUAUUAUAUUCAUACCUCAGUAUGAGAGGCGUGGUUGGAUAACUCCUGAGGUUAAAACUUUAGAGUUCACUUCAUGCCAAACCACCACGUAAGGGUGAACUCAGCCAACGCCAAGGAACGGCUAUAUUUUCAAAAUAAAAACAUGAUUUAUGCGUACAUAACGUUUUAACAGCCUUGGCAGAGUCAGUUCGAAUAGCCCUCAGCCAAGGUAUCUGUCACAACCCGAAACUCCCAUUGAGCCCGUGACAACCGCCAC
rnacentral:lncRNA from 1 species